rnacentral:rRNA from 1 species
GAUGAACGCUGGCGGCGUGCCUAAUACAUGCAAGUCGAGCGAAGCGGGGACGGGUGAGUAACGGGUGGAUAACCUCCUAUAAGACUGGGACAACUUCGGGAAACCGGAGCUAAACCGGAUAUUUAUAUAUGGAUCCGCGCUGCAUUAGCUAGUCGGUAAGGUAACGGCUUACCAAGGCAACGAUGCAUAGCCGACCUGAGAGGGUGAUCGGCCAAACUGGAACUGAGACACGGUCCAGACUCCUACGGGAGGCAGCAGUAGGGAAUCUUCCGCAAUGGGCGAAAGCCUGACGGGGCAACGCCGCGUGAGUGAUGAAGUUCUUCGGAUCGUAAAACUCUGUUGUUAGGGAAGCGGUACCUAAUCAGAAAGCCACGGCUAACUACGUGCCAGCAGCCGCGGUAAUAC